AUUGAACGCUGGCGGCAGGCCUAACACAUGCAAGUCGAACGGUAACAGGAAGAAGCUUGCUUCUUUGCUGACGAGUGGCGGACGGGUGAGUAAUGUCUGGGAAACUGCCUGAUGGAGGGGGAUAACUACUGGAAACGGUAGCUAAUACCGCAUAACGUCGCAAGACCAAAGAGGGGGACCUUCGGGCCUCUUGCCAUCGGAUGUGCCCAGAUGGGAUUAGCUAGUAGGUGGGGUAACGGCUCACCUAGGCGACGAUCCCUAGCUGGUCUGAGAGGAUGACCAGCCACACGGGAACUGAGACACGGUCCAGACUCCUACGGGAGGCAGCAGUGGGGAAUAUUGCACAAUGGGCGCAAGCCUGAUGCAGCCAUGCCGCGUGUAUGAAGAAGGCCUUCGGGUUGUAAAGUACUUUCGGCGGGGAGGAAGGGAGUAAAGUUAAUACCUUUGCUCAUUGACGUUACCCGCAGAAGAAGCACCGGCUAACUCCGUG
rnacentral:rRNA from 1 species